rnacentral:lncRNA from 1 species
AAACAUCACCCGUUCCCCUUCAAACUCUGGAAAUAAAAAAAAUUUAAAGAGAAAUUUGCAUGAUGCUAAGAAAACAAAUUAUGCAGUUUUUCAAAAUUCAGGACUCCGUUUCCGACUUGGAAACCUGAGAAGAAGAGAGAUGUGAAUGUGUGGUUGAGACAGUUUUGAUAAUACCAUCACUCUUUUUAAAGAAAAUGUAAAAACAUGGCCCAUAUAUAUAUUGUAUGGAUAGAAUAAAUAUCAUUGACACAUUAUGAAAGGCAUCUUAAGAAUACAUUUGGCAGGUCAGGCUAGUAAUACCUCUUGACAUUGUGUUUAAGUAUUAACUUAUCAGAGUUAGAGGAUUUACCUAGAAAUACAACCAUAAAAGUUGUUAAGAUCCACAUAGUUUUGGGAUUUUUCAGAAUCCUUUAGAUAGCACUUAAUAUCUGUAGUGUGAUAUUCUGUCAGA